rnacentral:tRNA from 1 species
ACCGGCGUGGUGUAAUGGCAGCACAUCAGGCUUUGACCCUGACAGCGUGGGAUCGUAACCCGCCGCCGGUGCCA